rnacentral:misc_RNA from 1 species
UCAAACUUGGUCAUUUAGAGGAAGUAAAAGUCGUAACAAGGUUUCCGUAGGUGAACCUGCGGAAGGAUCAUUACAAAAAACAUGAAGGUUCGCCUUUUUGUCAUACCACUCUGUGUAUCUGUACAUCGGUCUCCGCGGGAAGCGAAGUUGGAACAUGCGAACACUCCGUACGGAUGCUAGCGAUUCUUGUGAUUCCUCUUCCCGCGGACAUUUUUUUUCUUCAUGAAAUUGCUUCCCUAUUGCGUACAGUCUGAAUGCUAAAUCCAAACGGAUGAACAAAGUAAAAACUUUCAACAACGGAUCUCUUGGUUCUCGCAUCGAUGAAGAACGCAGC